UUUUUUUUUCUCCUUCCAAGUGCCUACUGCAAAGGCAGUAGGAUUAGAUUAUAGAUCUUGCUCGAUAUGAUUCUUAAAAGACUGUUGCCACUGCCACGAACUGGACGCAAUAACGAUGCACUUCUCUUCCGCAUUAUUGCAAAGAAGUCAUCGGUGUGAGAUGUCGCAAACAUUGUGGAUGCACUACAAAAGCGCGGCAGUGACAACAUCAUCCUAAACGCAUUAUUAUAUUGGACACGUAGGGCAUUGUAAGCUCUCCGCGUGUAUGUGGUCCACAGACUACUGGCGUAAAAAUAAUACCACACACAUAAAUAUAUACGUUAACAUAAUAAUAUGCUGUUACAAAAUGCUUCACGCCGACAAUUUCCACGGACUAAUCAUCUAGUGGCACGCGAAAUAAACCAGUUUCGCCGUAACAUAAACUAAAUGGAUCAACGUUUAUAUACGUUCUAGUGUGAGCAGUAAAACUUUAGUUGUCCCACGGGAGGCUGUAACUCAGAUAAGUACCAUUACCGCAUGAAGCUUCGGGGCCAGAAGUCACAAGCGCUUUUCUUCGUUGUUGUAAGUAAUUCAUAAAACAAUUCUCAAAGAAAGUGAUUGGGCACAAACAAAAAGUAAAUAAGCUGAAAAGAUCUCGUGCGCAAACGAUCCAUCAGUACUUAAAUAUUUUCAGUUGGCAUCGGUGCGUCAUUUUGAAAAAGCGGCGCGACACAAAAAACCCCUUGUCGUGGCGUCGGUAGCUACAUACCCGAUCCUGUGGACCGAAUGGUAAGCAGUUGACGUCGCCUUAAGCACAUCAUUUCGCAUCCUACCGAUCCUACUAACGGUGCUUUUAGGUACCUCAAGCACAGGUCAUCGUUCUCGUCGAAGCCGUCGCUAGUGACGAAAGGUUCUUUCUUAAUUCGAACGUAUUUUUUUUAAUGUGUUACCUAACAUUUUUUUUUUUGGGUAUCGGAAAUCUGUUACUUUUCGAGUGGUCCCAUUUAAAUUUCAUUAAAAUCGGUUCUGAUUUUUGAUCUCAUUUUUGUUUAAGUUAAUUUUCUAUUUUGCAAUUUACAUAGUUUGGACUUUUCCAAGUCACGUAUGGUAAUGCGUAAAUCUAUCCAAGUAUCGAACUCCCGCUGUGUGCGAUAACAUCAUAAUUUACUCUCGCGAACAUAAUAUCAAAUUAUUUUUCGAAAGCAGAUCAUUAACUCCAUCUCAUUGCUGUAAAAAUACUGUGUUUUUUUUCGCAUCGCUUAGAGGGGUGCACCAGCUCAUAGCACGCUUGGUGUUAAGCGGUCACCGGAGGAUAGAUAUCGACACCAUAUAGCUACCCACCUCGAGACACGAGUUCGUGUUUUAGGCGACGUCGACUGCUUUCCAUUCUGUCCGCAGGAUCGGGAAUGCGAGUAAGCCGCCUCGACAAUCCGUAGACCUCACGUGGGGUUGGCCUACCGCCUCGACCACGACUCGAAAAAUAAAGACCCCAAUUGAAAAUUUUGGUGGACUUGUAAUAUAUACGAAGUAAUUUCAUGAAGGUAUAUUUUUACAUGUUUCUUUAUUUAUAAAUAGUGGACCCGGCGAACUUUGUUUCGCCACACGGUUUGUUUCAAACACAUCAAACGGUUAACUUCAAAAUUCUACAUUAACAAUAGAAUAUAUUACGUUUAGCUGUCAGUUGCGUUUUGUUAUUCCAUAUCAGUUGCGUUUUUGUUAUAACACGUUUUAUGUCCCGUCCCACGGGAAUGUGAUAAAAAGUAUUCUAUGUACUUCUCCUGGUUCUAAGCUACCUCCCCACCAAUUUUCAGCCAAAUCAGCUCAUUCGUUCUUGAGUUAUAAAUAGUUUAACUAACACGACUUUCUUUUAUAUUUAAAAUAAGAUUUAUGCCUCGGGCAAAGUCAACGAGUUGUAAUGACAACACCCCAAAAAGAACCAUAAGGAGGGUAGAUAGAUAUAUCUGCUACUAACGUCCUACCCGCAGUCUUCGGUCUAUGCGUGACUCCAGUGAAACUGAUGAUAAAGCGACAAAGGAUGUCUAUUUCCGGCUUCCUGUCUGGAUAAAACGGAGGCAAUCGCCGAUCGUCUACUCGUGGUGCCAUGAACUGCAACAGCAGCGAAGACCUAAGCCUUUAAAUCAGAAGAUGCAGGGCGUUGUCGCCGACGUGUAAGGUCAGUAGCGAGUCGGCGCCGUGCUCCAGCAGGAGAGCGCAGAGCCGUGCAGACUGCACGUGUUGCUCGCGUGCCGGUACCUGCGCGCGCUCAUCUACUUCUGGCGCGCAUACUGCGCGCACUGCUCGCGUACCGCUGGCUGCGCGCACUGCUCGCGUGCCGCUGGCUGCGCACACUGCUCGCGUGCCGCUGGCUGCGCGCACUGCUCGCGUGCCGCUGGCUGCGCACACUGCUCGCGUGCCGCUGGCUGCGCGCGCUCGCCUGCUUCAGACGUGCAUACUGCACGUGUUGCUCGCGUGCCGCUGCAUGCGCGCGCUCACCUACUUCUGACGUGCAUACUGCACGUGUUGCUCGCAUGCCGCCGACUGCACGGUGCUGUACGACUGGCAGUGACGCAGAGGGCGAUGUCGCUUAGUCUGCGGCCUGCUACUGCGGACUACCCAACGGAUUAUCUAUCAGGACGGUCGAGCGGGACGCCCGCCACACGUGGUGCAGCCUCGCAUCGUGGGAGCAGACUGGAGCUGGGACGGCUGCCCUGCUUCCACAUCAUCCUUACGAGUGGACCCCGGUGACAUGCAGCCUUUUCUUCGAAAUUAAUAUGUGAAGGUCGAGGUGGGCACUUCGGUGCUUUACUUCCCAUUUUUGAGGUUGAGUUGGGUACGACGGUGCUUUACUUCCCAUUUUUGAGGUUGAGGUGGGCACGACGGUGCUUUACUUCCCAUUUUUGAGGUUGAGGUGGGCACGACGGUGCUUUACUUCCCGUUUAUUUUUUGAGCAGUAUGGUUAGAUGCGGAUUCGGCCGGAUUUUGCGUCCCUACUGUUUAGCUGUGUUGUGUCGGCAAUGUUCAGUAUCUGUAUCGGUGAAUAUUGCCGACAACAGCGCGCUACUGUUUUAGACGUUUCCUAUACGGGCUAACUCAGUAAAGGAAUCGUGCAGGUGUCUCAAAUUGCGCAGUUUGGGACAGUUGUGCGAUAUCCAUUCUUCUCACUUCAAAUGUUUAUCUUUGGCUCGUCCUCGCUGCAGAUGUAAGAGUGCACGCUUGCGUCUGUAGUGGGGAUUCUAAAUUUUAGAAAGUUUUAGAGCAUUAAGGUCUGGGUGUAUUUUUUUUUGUUACGUUACAGAGGGUGACCUUGUUGAUGCAAGCUCUGACGUAGCUGGAAGAGAUAUGCUUCUGCUGAGAGAUGAAGCGGUCGAGGACGCCUCGCCGUCAGGAACGGCCGUGUUACCGAAUCCUGGCAACCCCCGACCGAGAGCCAGCGCUAAAACUAUAAAAACGAUCCCUCGCUGCGCCUUUGCCUCUUUUUUGUGCGUGGCGUUCGUGAGUGCGGUUCUUGUUGAAACAUGUCCGAGACUUGUGUAAUUUUAACAGUUUUCGUUAAUAGUAAAUUGAAAUCAUUUUGUUAGAAGUUUUGUUAAUUCAGUGAAAUAUAAUUAGGCCAGUUCUGUGUUA